AGAGUUUGAUCCUGGCUCAGAUUGAACGCUGGCGGCAGGCCUAACACAUGCAAGUCGAGCGGAUGAAGGGAGCUUGCUCCCUGAUUUAGCGGCGGACGGGUGAGUAAUGCCUAGGAAUCUGCCUGGUAGUGGGGGAUAACGUUCCGAAAGGAACGCUAAUACCGCAUACGUCCUACGGGAGAAAGCAGGGGAUCUUCGGGCCUUGCGCUAUCAGAUGAGCCUAGGUCGGAUUAGCUAGUUGGUGAGGUAAUGGCUCACCAAGGCGACGAUCCGUAACUGGUCUGAGAGGAUGAUCAGUCACACUGGAACUGAGACACGGUCCAGACUCCUACGGGAGGCAGCAGUGGGGAAUAUUGGACAAUGGGCGAAAGCCUGAUCCAGCCAUGCCGCGUGU
rnacentral:rRNA from 1 species